ensembl:lncRNA
AAGUGAGAUGGCUUUUAACACAACAUGCAGAUUCAUCACCUCCCUGGGCAGCUGGUGCCAAUGCCUCACCACUCUUUCUGAGAAGAAAUUCUUCCUAAUAUCCAACCUGAACCUCCCCUGGCACACGAACCCACUCAAGAGCAGAAGAUAUCAUUCUAGACGAGAGAUCCAUCACAUCUUCAAACUGUAAAUAUUACUGAGGUAAAGGAUAAGAUUACAGACAGAGAAGAUUCAGGAAAAGAAAAUUCUCUCCCUUGGAUGCCUUUUAACCUAAAGGAUACAGACAAAGAGGAACAUAUGAAACCCAACACCAAAGAAGGAAGGAAACGGUGAUAGCUGAUUUUAUAUUUUAUUAAUGUGGUUAUUAGGUAUACGCACUGUAGCAUUGCCUCAAAUUACCUAUCAAGUCCUGUCUAUGUUACAGUUUGUACAAUCUGAUCUUGAUUAAAGGCAAGAUGCUGUACAAGUAUAUACAAAACUCUGUCUUUUCACUACAAUGUUUCAAAUUUUUGUUCUAAUAAAUCCCUCUGAAUUUCUUCUAUUUUUGUUGUUGUUGUUGUUUUUCUAUCUUGUCCAAGUGGAUCACUAAUUUAAAUAUUUCCCAUAAAAUUCACAGCUAAGUGGGCUGGAGAAAAAUAAUAAAGAGUUG